GCCACUAGUAGGAUUCAUUCUCUUUAAUCAG
rnacentral:piRNA from 1 species